UACGAGGGGGGCUAGCGUUGCUCGGAAUCACUGGGCGUAAAGCGCACGUAGGCGGAUUGUUAAGUCAGGGGUGAAAUCCUGGAGCUCAACUCCAGAACUGCCUUUGAUACUGGCGAUCUCGAGUCCGGGAGAGGUGAGUGGAACUGCGAGUGUAGAGGUGAAAUUCGUAGAUAUUCGCAAGAACACCAGUGGCGAAGGCGGCUCACUGGCCCGAUACUGACGCUGAGGCACGAAAGCGUGGGGAGCAAACGGG
rnacentral:rRNA from 1 species